GUACACGCUGUAAACGAUGAGAGCUAGUUGUCGGCACGCAUGCGUGUCGGUGACGCAGCUAACGCAUUAAGCUCUCCGCCUGGGGAGUACGGCCGCAAAGGUUAAAACUCAAAGAAAUUGACGGGGGCCCGCACAAGCGGUGGAGCAUGUGGUUUAAUUCGAAGCAACGCGAAGAACCCUUACCCACGUUUGACAUGUCCAGUUUGGUCGGCAGAGAUGCCUUCCUUCACCUCGGGUGGCUGGAACACAGGUGCUGCAUGGCUGUCGU
rnacentral:rRNA from 1 species